CGGGGGCCCGCACAAGCGGUGGAGCAUGUGGUUUAAUUCGAAGCAACGCGAAGAACCUUACCAGGUCUUGACAUCCUCUGACAACCCUAGAGAUAGGGCUUUCCCUUCGGGGACAGAGUGACAGGUGGUGCAUGGUUGUCGUCAGCUCGUGUCGUGAGAUGUUGGGUUAAGUCCCGCAACGAGCGCAACCCUUGAUCUUAGUUGCCAGCAUUCAGUUGGGCACUAUAAGGUGACUGCCGGUGACAAACCGGAGGAAGGUGGGGAUGACGUCAAAUCAUCAUGCCCCUUAUGACCUGGGCUACACACGUGCUCCAAUGGACAGAACAAAGGGCUGCGAGACCGCAAGGUUAAGCCAAUCCCACAAAUCUGUUCUCAGUUCGGAUCGCAGU
rnacentral:rRNA from 1 species